AAUAAAAUGUGAUUUGAUUUGUGGAUAGAGCGAGGGAGCUGUGAUGGUCAGUAGCGCUACAGUAGACCGGAGUGAUCCAAUUUUCAAGCUUUGUUUGCCUCUCGCUUUCUCUUUCUCCCCUGCCUCCUGCCCUUUCUCCUCUAUCUACUUUUGUGUCAUUUUUUAUCUUUCUUUUCCUCCUGCCUUACCUCCUGCUCUCUCUCUCAUCUCUCUCUCUCUCUCUCUCUCAUCUCUGUGUCUCGUCUCUCUCCAGAGCGAUGCCCCCUGCAGCUUCAGUGGAGACAGCGCCAUGGAGACAGGACGGGUGGACCGGAAACCCAGUGACAGUACUUGGGUCUGCAGAUGCCAUCUUCUGUUGUGAAAGUGGCCCUGUAUUUACCAGAAAAGACAUGAGGCGUGACAUGCAGAACAUCUGGCUCACCUCACAAGAAGCAGUGCAUGAUCAAUGCCACCCUCAGCAAGGAGAUCUGCUGGAAGUGAUGUCUCUCCCAUCCUUAGAUGUUCUCACUCUCUCUCUCUCUCUAGUUCAGUGUUUCCCAACCCUGGUCCUCGAGUACCUCCAAC